rnacentral:pre_miRNA from 7 species
CUCUUGAAUUAAAAGUCCUCUUUCAGUUUGCAGUGAAAGACCUCCGAAGGGAGACCCUCACUCAAAUCUCGGGACAACAGCGGACCCUCAAGAACUCACGAGAGACC